AUAUCUGUAAAACAAUUAUUUAACCAGGGUUACAUGUUCUUAUCAGUUUAAUAUCUGAUACGUCCCCUAUUCGGGGACCAUAUAUUAAAUGGAUUUUUGGGCCUGGGAGAUGGAAGAGGGGCUUGCUCCAUCCACUGUGGAUACUCAUCUCUUAACUCAAUUCAGAUAUAUAUUUAUAAAUAU